rnacentral:rRNA from 1 species
CGGCGGACGGGUGAGUAACACGUGGGUAACCUGCCUGUAAGACUGGGAUAACUCCGGGAAACCGGAGCUAAUACCGGAUAGUUCCUUGAACCGCAUGGUUCAAGGAUGAAAGACGGUUUCGGCUGUCACUUACAGAUGGACCCGCGGCGCAUUAGCUAGUUGGUGGGGUAAUGGCUCACCAAGGCGACGAUGCGUAGCCGACCUGAGAGGGUGAUCGGCCACACUGGGACUGAGACACGGCCCAGACUCCUACGGGAGGCAGCAGUAGGGAAUCUUCCGCAAUGGACGAAAGUCUGACGGAGCAACGCCGCGUGAGUGAUGAAGGUUUUCGGAUCGUAAAGCUCUGUUGUUAGGGAAGAACAAGUGCGAGAGUAACUGCUCGCACCUUGACGGUACCUAACCAGAAAGCCACGGCUAACUACGUGCCAGCAGCCGCGGUAAUACGUAGGUGGCAAGCGUUGUCCGGAAUUAUUGGGCGUAAAGGGCUCGCAGGCGGUUUCUUAAGUCUGAUGUGAAAGCCCCCGGCUCAACCGGGGGAGGGUCAUUGGAAACUGGGAAACUUGAGUGCAGAAGAGGAGAG